UACGACUACAUAUCAGGCAUAUCAAUAAGCGGAGGAAAAGAAACUAACAGGAUUCCCUUAGUAACGGCGAGUGAAGCGGGAAGAGCUCAAAUUUGAAAUCUUCAGGGUUUUACCUUGACGAAUUGUAGUUUAAAGAAGUGUUUUCUGUUGGUGUUUUGGUAAAAGUUCUUUGGAAUAGGACAUCAUAGAGGGUGAGAAUCCCGUAUUUGACCAGUUACUUUCCAGCUGUGUGAUACACUUUCAAAGAGUCGGAUUGUUUGGGAAUGCAGUCCAAAAUGGGUGGUAAAUUUCAUCUAAAGCUAAAUAUUGGCGAGAGACCGAUAGCGAACAAGUACCGUGAGGGAAAGAUGAAAAGAACUUUGAAAAGAGAGUUAAACAGUACGUGAAAUUGUCAAAAGGGAAGCGUUUAACACCAGUGUUGUUUUCUCGAAAAUCAAUUAAAAAUAGCUUGAUUUUGUGUUGUAUUGACCUUAAAAGCUUUCUUCACUCUUUUCCUGUUAUUUUUAAUGCACUUUUCGUUUAACAAGUCAACAUCAGUUUCUUUUGUUGUAAAAAGGUCAUUGGAAGGUGGCUUUCUUUUCGGAGAAAGUGUUUAUAGCCUUUGACUCCUGCAAUCGGAGAGACUGAGGUCUGCAGCGUAGAUCCUUCUUGGAUUAGAUUCAUUUGUGCUAAGUUAUAGCUUUUCAUAGACAACUUGUUGACUAUGUUUAGUCUUGUAGCUUACUCGCUUAUGUAAUUUUACCUACGCUUAGGAUGUUGAAUCUGUGCGAGACUAC
rnacentral:rRNA from 1 species